UGGAUGAAGGUCUUUACCUGUGUGA
rnacentral:piRNA from 1 species